GACAGAGGUGCAAACGUUGUUCGGAAUUACUGGGCGUAAAGCGCGUGUAGGCAGCUCGGAAAGUCGGGUGUGAAAGCCCUGGGCUUAACCUAGGAAGUGCACUCGAAACUUCCGAGCUUGAGUUCUGGAGAGGAAGGCGGAAUUCUCGGUGUAGAGGUGAAAUUCGUAGAUAUCGAGAGGAACACCGGUGGCGAAGGCGGCCUUCUGGACAGUGACUGACGCUGAGACGCGAAAGCGUGGGGAGCAAACAGG
rnacentral:rRNA from 1 species